GCUCCCGUAGCUCAGUCGGAUAGAGCAACAGCCUUCUAAGCUGUGGGUCGCACGUUCGAGUCGUGCCGGGGGCGCCA
rnacentral:tRNA from 1 species